ACUGGAAUGCCUUUGGCUGCACAUCUCUAUCAAAACAUGUAUAUCAAUAGACUGUGUGCAAUUCCUGGAAGACACUGCAAGCUCCUAGGAACCAGCUGUAUAUUACCAGCAUAUGAAGAGCUCUGUGUUUACAGGUCGCUGCAUGAUGCAGCGGCUCCAGAAGCAUCUUCUGGGUCCUGUCGGUCAUGUGACUGUCACUUCCGGAUUAGACUCCAAUACCCCAGAGUGUUGAAUGUCAAAACAUUGCCUGUCAACAUUUUAACAAUGUCAACAUCUUAACUGUCAAGAUUGUGGUGUGCCGACCUUUUGAUUACAUCCCGAAAUAGUAACACAGAAAUGUUCUUGAUGUUCAUGACCAGGUGAGGAACAUGGGGAAGAUGUACCAAACCAUCUAAAGUGGACAACUGGAGAUAGGUUUUCGCUAUAUUUUGUCAAGAACAUUCUAUAAAAUGAUAGCUGAUUAGUUUCUAUAGGCAACGUCUCCCCCUGUCUUCUGUAGUAAGGGCCUAAUUAAGUAAGGAUUGCAUAAGAGAUUCUUACUGCAUUUCCCCGAUGUUGAGGGACUAUACACGUGCAGGACCCGUUCUGUACAUGUGCAGAACGUGUCCUGCGAUGGCAUUGCAGGAAUGCAAGCGCCUCUGCCUGAUUGAUAGGCAGAGGCGUUCGGAGGGAGGGGCGUUGCGGAAACAGUAGAGCGUCCAGGAUUGGUGAAGUCCAAGGACUGCGUCAUAGAUGCAGUUUCUUUGGCCUCGCAUGGCCACCUGCGAUGGCAAGCCUCAGUAAGCUGAUGACAGAUGACCGAUGAUCGCGAUGUUCAUCACAGAUGCAAUGCGAUUACAAUGCAGGAAGGAGGUGGUAUGCACCUCCUCCUACAUGUGCAUUGCAAAGGAUUGCAAUUGUAAAGCUUCUGCAAACAGCUUUGCAUUGCAAUCCUUACUGAAUUAGGCCCUAAAUUCGAUACAUCUCCCCCAUAGUCUAAAUUUAAAGCGUAUGAGUCUUUCACAAUACCUAGGGGUUGAGGUAUAAUGCCGGCAGUCGGGAUCCCGGAGGCCAGCAUCCCGACCACAGGAUCCCGGCCGCUAGAAUGCUGUCGGGGGUGGGGGGGGCAAACGUAACGGAGCAUCUUGCGGGCUCGGUGAGUCACUGUGCUCACCACAGGUUCUAUUCCCACUCUAUGGGUAUAGUGGAAACCCACCAGUUGAAUUUACCCCUGUUUGCUAGCAUUUCGGCUGCUGGCAUUGUAAGCGUUCGGGAUUCCGGCGUCGGUAUUCUGCCCGUCGGGUAAAGCAACUACAUCCCGUUUUAGAGACAGAUGGGUUUUACUGACAGACUUCAAAGCACCACCAAUACUUUUCCACACAAUUUAUUAAACUUUGACUUCCUCGUAAUCACAUUACCUUAUAAGAUCUACGUUGAAAGUCUUAUUGCAGUAUUACUUUUAGGUUUGUGUUAUGCAUGGGAAUAUUGUACCAAUGCAUAUCUAAAUGAAUAAUCACCAAAAAAAAAACCAAGAGGUUUCACCAGAGUAAAGUUUAAUUUAUACGCAGAGGGCUUGUGCCUUCUAAAUGAAACGGAUAUUGAAUUAGCCCUUACAACUGUCUCAAGUACAUCUCCAAAAACAAACUGUUGAGUUUCUGCCUUUUUGAAUAUUCAGUUUUAAGCCAUCAUUUUUAAACAUGUUUUAUUGUAUUCCUCAUUAUUAUUUAAAACAAUAUAAA